GACGAACGCUGGCGGCGUGCCUAAUACAUGCCAGUAGAACGCUGAAGGAGGAGCUUGCUUCUCUGGAUGAGUUGCGAACGGGUGAGUAACGCGUAGGUAACCUGCCUGGUAGCGGGGGAUAACUAUUGGAAACGAUAGCUAAUACCGCAUAAGAGUAGAUGUUGCAUGACAUUUGCUUAAAAGGUGCAAUUGCAUCACUACCAGAUGGACCUGCGUUGUAUUAGCUAGUUGGUGGGGUAACGGCUCACCAAGGCGACGAUACAUAGCCGACCUGAGAGGGGGAACGGCCACACUGGUACGGAGAAAAGGCCCAGACUACUACGGGAGGCAGCAGUAGGGAAUCUUCGGCAAUGGCCGGAAGUCUGACCGAGCAAAGCCGCGUGAGUGGAGAAGGUUUUCGGAUCGUAAAGCUCUGUUGUAAGAGAAGAACGAGUGUGAGAGUGGAAAGUUCACCCUGUGACGGUAUCUUACCAGAAAGGGACGGCUAACUACGUG
rnacentral:rRNA from 1 species